rnacentral:sRNA from 1 species
GAAGGAUAACGUUGCGACAGCAACGGCCCGCAGGCGAGGCGAAGCCGAGUCAUCCUGCACGACCCACCA